GGUAGAGCUCAGUUGGUGGAGUGCUUGCCUUGCAUGCACAAGGCCCUGGGUUCAAUCCCCAACACCA
rnacentral:tRNA from 1 species